rnacentral:rRNA from 1 species
UACGUAGGGUGCGAGCGUUGUCCGGAAUUAUUGGGCGUAAAGAGCUUGUAGGCGGUUUGUCGCGUCUGCUGUGAAAACUCGGGGCUCAACCCCGAGCCUGCAGUCGAUACGGGCAGACUAGAGUGCUGUAGGGGAGACUGGAAUUCCUGGUGUAGCGGUGAAAUGCGCAGAUAUCAGGAGGAACACCGGUGGCGAAGGCGGCUUCCUGGACCUGUUCUGACACUGAGGAGCGAAAGCGUGGGGAGCGAUCCGG